ensembl:lncRNA
GGGGUGGUGGCCUUGAGGGGCGGGACACUCACGAGGGCAUCUCCCACAGAGAUGCACAGUCCGCCCUGGAAAUGCCUCAGGCUUUCAGAAGGAGCGGCUGCCCAAGGCCUCCAGGCUGCCAGGCUGGAGGGCUGCAGAAGAGGCCAGACCCCAGGGAGGGUGGUCUAAGCACCCCGCUCGCUCAGGCCUGCAGGAAGACACAGCCCGGUCCAGAUGGGCCCCUGGAGACCUUCCAGGGCAACCCGCGGGGCUGUUCACGAACCUGAAGCCCGGAGAGGAUGCCCCGGCUGCCCCAGGGGCCUGUCCGGGCGCUGGCCAGCCACUCCCCUAACGGUGACGAACAAGGGAGCUGUAGAGAGAGUCUCUGAAAGUUGUUCCCGCUGUCUGAGAGACACGAGGAGGAUGGAUUUUCAAAGGAUGGAGCAGAGCCCAGGGCUGCGUCCUUUGAAGCCAGGGCUCCUGAACAUGCCGUGCCGGUGUUACUGGUUCUUAGCAGCUGACUCGCAUACUGACAUGUCUUUGGGCUGGAUGCUGGAACACUGACACCUCUUUGGGCCAGAUGCUGGGAUAGACCCCCAAAGGGCAUGACCCCCACCCCCUGCCCCUGCUGUUGUUUUUUCUAACUUUUUGGUCGUGCCUUGAGGCAUGGUGGUAUCUUUGUUCCCCAUCCAGGGACCUUGGCCCCCUGCAUUGAAAGGGCGGAGUCUUAAC